rnacentral:rRNA from 1 species
AGAGUUUGAUCAUGGCUCAGGACGAACGCUGGCGGCGUGCUUAACACAUGCAAGUCGAACGAUGAAGCUGGAGCUUGCUCCGGUGGAUUAGUGGCGAACGGGUGAGUAACACGUGAGCAACCUGCCCUUCACUCUGGGAUAACUGCGGGAAACUGUAGCUAAUACCGGAUAUUAGGAUCUGAGGCAUCUCAGAUCUUGGAAAGAAUUUCGGUGAAGGAUGGACUCGCGGCCUAUCAGCUAGUUGGUGAGGUAACGGCCCACCAAGGCGACGACGGGUAGCCGGCCUGAGAGGGUGACCGGCCACACUGGGACUGAGACACGGCCCAGACUCCUACGGGAGGCAGCAGUGGGGAAUAUUGCACAAUGGGCGCAAGCCUGAUGCAGCAACGCCGCGUGAGGGACGACGGCCUUCGGGUUGUAGACCUCUUUUAGCAGGGAAGAAGCGAAAGUGACGGUACCUGCAGAAAAAGCACCGGCUAACUACGUGCCAGCAGCCGCGGUAAU